GAUGAACGCUAGCUACAGGCUUAACACAUGCAAGUCGAGGGACCGGCACACGGGUGAGUAACCCGUAUCCAUCCUGCCCUUAAGUCGGGAAUAGCCGUACGAAGGAGCGAUUAAUACCCGAUGUAAAGGGUGGGGAUGGGUUCCAUUAGGUUGUUGGUGAGGUAACGGCACACCAAGCCUUCGAUGGAUAGGGGUUCGGGUAGGAAGGUCCACCACAUUGGAACUGAGACACGGUCCAAACUGCUACGGGAGGCAGCAGUGAGGAAUAUUGGUCAAUGGGCGCUAGCCUGAACCAGCCAAGUAGCGUGAAGGAUGAAGGCUUAUGGGUCGUAAACUUCUUUUAUAUAAGAAUAUGUAUUAUAUGAAUAAGGAUCGGCUAACUCCGUGCCAGCAGCCGCGGUAAUUC
rnacentral:rRNA from 1 species